UACGCCUCCCGUUUAGGAAAGUCGCGACGUAAACAAAUUAAAAAAUUCAACAGAAUAAUAAAUAAUUCGUGAUAAUAAACACAGAUUAUAGUGGAUCAUUUUGUUUAUCGGCGAUGGAUAGUGCAUUUGUAGUAAGACCACUUAAAUAUCGUGAUUGAUAAGCAAAUGAGAUAUCAAUGCGCUCUUCGGUGAGCUACAUUCUGUCUCACGCGCCAGGCGAGUCGGUGAUGUCGCACCCUGACUACUCGCAGCAUGCCCAGCACCAUGCGUGCCUGCUGGUGCUCGUCAAAGGCAUCGGCGGCAUGCUCAAGAACUUCAACAAGCUCUGGGAGAGAAUACAAAGGGUCAAUAAUAUUAAAGUAACUGAUUCUACUGGCCAAGUAAGAGAUAUAUGGGUGAGAUAUGUCCGUGACUACCCAGUGGAAAACAAUGAUUGGGGUGACUUUCAAACUCACAGGCGAUUGCUAGGCCUCAUAACACUGAGUAAAUUCACCAACCAAGUGGAGUUGAAUGAAGUAUGCAGGGUCCAUGAGUCUCUCAAAGUGAAGUACUCUAACACCCUGUUUGACUCCCGUGCCUUCAUGUUUGGGCCGGUCAGCAAUAUGAAGAAACCGGAACAAGAACCUGAGACUUACAGUUACUAUGAAGAGGAAAGGCCUCUGAAAGAUGGGAUGAGUGAUAGAGCAUCCAUACCCAGUGAACAAGCAGACAGCCUAUCCUCUUUAGAAAGCUUUCCUCAAUCCACUUCCUCGAACUCCUCAUAUCCUCUGCAAGAAGAAAACUUCACAAUUCCCUCAAACUUCAAGACUCAUGCCAUGUUCCAUGGUGAGAAUGACCCAGUGCCAGACCUGGAACAGAAUGUGGCUGAUCUCAUCAACUCACUGUUCUGGGUUGUGGAGUCCAAGAGGUUGGAAAGGUCUAAGGAGAAAUUGGAAAAAGUGUCGUUAUUGUUAGCGCCUUUUGAGAAGAAGGAUUUUGUUGGUCUCGACAUGGAGUCCCGUAACAACAAGAAGCGUUGCAUGGGCCGCGUCACCAAGAACCUGGCAGAUCUGACGUUGCAGGCCGGCUUGGUGGCUGAAAGUCUGUGCCUGUACAACUCCUCCGCUGAACUAUUGAAGACUGACUGGCUUUGGUUGGCCGCAGCUAAAGAAGGCCUCUGUACCGCCUCAGCAAUACUCCUAUACCCAAACCUCCGCAAUCCCACCCCUCUACACAGAAACGCGAGUCUCCAAGAAAACUCGCCUAACAAGGCAAAACAGCUAUCCUUAUUCCAACCAACGUCAGACGCCUUCAGAAAGUUAAAACUCACUUCGUCUCCACUACGUACAUCGAAAACUUCUAGUCCAGUCAAUCCACCCAGUGAACUAACCCCUACUUCAUCUGACAGUGUCGAAACUUCUUCUCGACAGUCAGAAACUGACAAUGCAGACUCCGAAUCUCUUGCGUCUUCAAGCGAUAUUGAGUACCAAAGCCACAAGUCGUUCUUAGGUCCUGAUCUCCCUUCUAUUCCUCGACAACCCCCUUCUCAGAUCAACAAUCAAUAUUUGCUGAAUGGUGAAGAAAUUGCGGAAAGGUACCGCGAAGCUAUAAUGGACUACAGUAAAUAUAAGAAUGCUGGUGUAAUUGAGACUGAAGCAUGUUUUAAGGCAGCCCGCAUUGCUGUGGAGCAAGCCAAUAGUUUGCACGCGUCCAGUUUUCUGCAAAACGUCAUAUUUAUUAACUUGACUUUGAGUGAACAAGAGAAGAUACAGCGGUUCGAAACUCUGGCGGAACUUUAUAAAGAGAUUGGCUUUCACCGUAAGGCGGGUUUCUGCCAGCGCUUAGCCGCGACCCGCCAAGUCAGCCCGAACAACCCGAGCCCAGACUGGCAGAAGUGUUAUUACCUGAUGCUGCACAGCUUCCCAGGGUAUAAGCUUAGCUUGGAUCCUAACUAUGUUAUACAGUAUCAAGUUGGUUGGCCGGCCCUUCAAAUCCAGUUGCUCCAAGAGUUGGUAGUGGCCUCCCGUCGCAUGGGGCACCCGGCGCUGGCCACCAGACACAUGACCUUCCUACUGCAGACCAUGUGGCCUCAUCUCAGUAGGCAGGAGCAUCGGGAACUCGCUAUACAGUUGCAGGCGUUAUCAGCCCAAUGCGAAGGUGGUCCAGUCCCCCUAGUGCUGGAGACAGGGGAGGUGAUUCCCCCCGCGAACCUGACGCACGUGCCGCAAUGCUCGUGGUUCAGCGCGAGGCCGCUCCCGCCGGCGCGGGCGCCGCACCUGAGGCAGGCCAAGCCAACACACGGACCCUUCAUAUUUACGCCUAUACACUUUGGCAGUUUGGAAAGGAAUGCGAAGAAGGAUGAGGGGAAAAUGGAAUACCUCUGGGUAGAAGACGACAUAUGCGAAGUCCAAAUGAAGCUAACAAAUCCUCUACCAUUCGAACUGAAAGUAUCAAACAUGAGGCUUCUAACAUCAGGCGUAGUAUUCGAGUCCCUCCCCGAAACUAUUAUCCUUCCCCCCGACUCGCCCACAACUGUCAACCUUCACGGAACACCAAAAGAAGUGGGCGAGUUACAAAUACUUGGAUAUUCAACCCAUACCCUAGGUGUAAAGUCUAAUUGUCGCCUAAAAAAUAUGCCUACUCCGCAUAAAUUCCCCGCUUCGUAUACCAUUGAGGUGAUACCAAGUCUACCUACAAUAACUAUUGAAACGAUUGUAACCCCCUCUGGUAAUUCUAGCGGGUUGAAUAUAGAAAAUGUUGGCAGCACCACGAAUAUAUCCCUGUUUAAUGGUGAAAGUACGGACUGUUCGAUCAAUAUUACGAAUACUAGUAACGUGCCGAUUGAACAUCUUGAGUUAGCUAUACAGUCAAACAUGGACAGCCAGCUCCAAUCAAAAGUGUUCCAAUAUUCAAACGAGGACAUACAGUCUCUCCUACCCAUCGCGCCAAACGCCACAGCUACAAUAGCCAUUAAAUUGUACGGCGAGGCAGAUUUCCUCGACCUGGGGGGAGUUGGAGGGGAGAAUUUGUUCCCCAAUAGCUUGAACUCGAAUUACCCCUCAAGGGUGGGGUCGCCGGUACCAAAUGCUCAGACUUCAUUGCCCACACAAAGCUCUAAUCCGCACACGUCUUUGAGUAGUGGCCUUAUACCCAAUAGGACUUCUGGAAGUUUCAGAUCAACAAACUCACAUACAACGAGUUGGUCGGCACCCAUUUCUGUUAUGUCACCUUCUAGAGGACGCCAAAUAGAAACUCAGUUAAUAAUCAGGUAUUCAGGCGGUGAAGGCAAAGAUAUGCAUUGCCGUCAAUCAACGCUUCAGAUCAAUUUGGAACUGCUGCCGAGCGUUUCUAUAACUCACUGGGACGUUUUGCCAGCAGAAAUCCCAUCCCAACUGUACCUGGUGCUGGACGUGACAAACCUGACAUCAGAGGAGAUGGACUUCCACUACGCGCCGAGUAAACACAUCCUCAUUGAGAGCAAGGAGUCCUGUCGUGUGCCCGUACCCUUAGACCGCUGUCCUUUUAAUACUACGCCUAGCAAGACGACUGAUGAAGAUCUCGUAGAAUCCAAAUCAACGAACACAGGCACAUCAACAAACAGCUUGGAGCUGAUGUGUUCGGAGCACAUCACGAACAACACAGCACUGCGCUGGCAUCUCAUGCAGUCUGACACUCAGGGCAAAGCCUCCGUGAAGGGCAUCACCUUGUCGCAAGCCAUGAUGGACAUUGUCCGGAUGUCGCCUUUGAAUUGGGAAGUAAGCGUAAACAGCCAAUGUAUAAAGCCGCAAGAGGAAUACAACUGCACAGCCGGCGAGUGUCUGUCCCUCGGCGUGGCUGUGUGGAACCAUCUGUCGCGACCUUUGCACAAGCUCUGUCUAUCAGUGCAGUUCUACCAGGAUUAUAACAAUGGAGUGCUCAGCUACAAGCUUGACAACCGCGUCGCUACCGCUGGGAAUAAUAAAGUGGUACUCACAACGUUACCAGAAUCAGCGAAAGCAUACCACGAAUGCACCGUGGUGUUCUUAACCCCUGGUGAAUACAAGAUCGACAUCCAGUGCUCCACAACAGAACCUAUAUUAGACGAAGUUUCCCUCAUAAAGGAAACUGAUCACCCAUCCAUUAUACAGCCGUGUGCCGGCGAAGUUAGUCACAUUUGGCGGUUCAUACCACCCGUAGCUAUAAGCGUUACUGAUUAAAUAUAACAGUUAUUAUUUAUUGGACGUAGUUACGGACGUAGGAAAUAUUGAAUAUUAAACCCGACUGCACCACUGCGCUAAAUUGUAGUUGUACAAUAAAACAUAGUGAAGUACAUUUAUUAAAAACUUAUUUAAUGCAGAGUAUUAUGUUUUGCUAUAUAUUAGCGACAGUUGUGCAAUCCGGACUGCUUAAACUAAAUUGUAAUAGGUACAUACAUGCUAGACUUUUUUUUAAUAAAUCGUGCUAAUUUACGAAAGCUUUUUCAAACUGAAACUGUUAGUCUAAAAAGUAUUAUGUAGCUUUGGUAAAUAAUUACAUUUUGUUAAGCUAAUAAAUAAAGCUUUAAUGUUUAACAUUAAUUUGAUCCUUGCUGUAACGGGCUUAUAUCUGCUGUCGCUGGAUAUUGCAAUAAAAUCAUUUCUAAAGCCUAAGCAAGUCUCAAGUUAAGAGUAACAACGUCUUAUAGUAUCUGUUAACUCUUUAAACUUAUUUAUGAAUGUAUUACUCUCUAUUUAAAAACUCAUUUACUGUCAAAAAAAUAUAUAUUUUAUAUUAUUUCA
rnacentral:misc_RNA from 1 species